UCCUACGUGGAUUCCCUACUCGAGAUCGAGCUCCCGGAGGAAGGGGGCAGGAAGCUCUCGGACGACGAGAUGACGGUCCUCUGCUCGGAGUUCCUGAACGCGGGCACGGACACGACGUCGACCGCGUUGCAGUGGAUCAUGGCGAACCUGGUGAAGCACCAAGAUAUACAAGAGAAGCUGCGGGACGAGAUCGACGGGGUAACCGACGGGAGGGACGAGGAGGAGAUCAAGGAGGAGGACCUGCAGAGUAUGCCAUACCUGAAGGCGGUGAUACUGGAAGGGCUGCGGCGGCACCCGCCGGGCCACUUCGUCCUGAGCCACGCGGUGACGGAGGACGUGGACCUGUGCGGGUACCUGAUGCCCAAGGGAACGGCGGUCAACUUCUGCGUGGCGGAGAUGAAUUGGGA
rnacentral:lncRNA from 1 species